rnacentral:lncRNA from 1 species
GGGCUAACAAGAAAAAAUUGUUUUUCUGGAAUGCAAAGUCCUUGAGUUAAGAGAGCUACCAUAAUAUUCAACAAUUAAGCACAACUCCCUUCCUCACCAAUCUUAAUUAUUUCCCAACUUCUUCCCUUUUCUUUUACAUUGAGCUCUCUUUCAUGCCUUUCUUCUUUUCUUUUCUUUUUCUCAUGCAUUUUUCUUUUUCAACAUUUGAGCUCAAUGCUUUACAAUUGCUUUUCAAUUUCCCCCAUACAACCCCAAACUUGAACCUUUUCCACACAUACAAUUAAGCUCAACCCAACUCAAGGUAAAGAAUUUCAAAUCAAGGGUUCUCAUCCUGUUUAAGGC